rnacentral:rRNA from 1 species
GAUGAACGCUGGCGGCGUGCCUAAUACAUGCAAGUCGAGCGAACAGACGAGGAGCUUGCUCCUCUGACGUUAGCGGCGGACGGGUGAGUAACACGUGGAUAACCUACCUAUAAGACUGGGAUAACUUCGGGAAACCGGAGCUAAUACCGGAUAAUAUAUUGAACCGCAUGGUUCAAUAGUGAAAGACGGUUUUGCUGUCACUUAUAGAUGGAUCCGCGCCGCAUUAGCUAGUUGGUAAGGUAACGGCUUACCAAGGCAACGAUGCGUAGCCGACCUGAGAGGGUGACCGGCCACACUGGAACUGAGACACGGUCCAGACUCCUACGGGAGGCAGCAGUAGGGAAUCUUCCGCAAUGGGCGAAAGCCUGAUGGAGCAACGCCGCGUGAGUGAUGAAGGUCUUCGGAUCGUAAAACUCUGUUAUUAGGGAAGAACAAAUGUGUAAGUAACUAUGCACGUCUUGACGGUACCUAAUCAGAAAGCCACGGCUAACUACGUG